rnacentral:tRNA from 1 species
GCCGGGGUGGCGGAAUGGCAGACGCGGCGGACUUAAAAUCCGCUGUCCUUAUAGGGCGUGCGGGUUCAAAUCCCGCCCUCGGCACCA